GAAAAUGUAGCCAAGUGGACCAAGGCAAUGGAUUUCGAAUCCACAACGCACGGGUUCAAUUUUCAUUUUUC
rnacentral:tRNA from 1 species